rnacentral:rRNA from 1 species
CGACUGCUAUCGGAUUGAGAUUUAGCCAUGCGAGUCGGACGUCCCCCUGUUGCGGGGGACGUGGCGUACGGCUCAGUAACACGUAGUCAACCUGCCCUCGAGACGCGGACAACCCCGGGAAACUGGGAUCAAUUCCGUGAUAGGCCAUCUCACCUGGAAGGAGAGGCGGCUUAAAGGGGUGUGCGAGCUUCUUUCGUGCAUCUGCUCGAGGAUGGGACUGCGACCGAUCAGGCUGUUGGCGGGGUAAUGGCCCACCAAACCUGUAACCGGUACGGGCCUUGAGAGAGGGGGCCCGGAGAUGGACACUGAGAGAAGGGUCCAGGUCCUACGGGGCGCAGCAGGCGCGAAACCUUCGCAAUGCGCGAAAGCGUGACGAGGUUAAUCCGAGUGGUCCCCGCUGAGGGGAUCUUUUGCCGGCUGUAAAAAGGCCGGUGAAUAAGGGGAGGGCAAGUCUGGUGUCAGCCGCCGCGGUAAUACCAGCUCCUCGAGUGGUCGGGGCGAUUAUUGGGCCUAAAGCAUCCGUAGCUUGUUCUGUAGGUCUUCUGUUAAAUCCAACGGCUCAACCGUUGGCGGGCAGAGGAUACCGCAGGACUAGGAGGCGGGAGAGGUGGGCGGUACUCCACGUGUAGGGGUAA